rnacentral:lncRNA from 1 species
AGGCAGAGGCUGCAGUGAGCCGAGAUCACUCCAGCCUGGGCGACAGAGUAAGACUCUGUCUCAAAAAAAAAAAAAAUUUUUUUUUAAAUUUUUCAGGCAUGGUGGCACAUGUCUGUAGUCCCAGCUACUCAGGAGGCUAGGUUUUUUGGCCUUGGGAAGGUCCUUCACCCGCUCUGAACCUCAGUAUCCCCACCUGUAAAACAAAAGAACUGGACAUGUCACUGUAGUUUUCAAACUAUGCUUGAUAGCAGUUCCUUAGCGAAGAGCUUCCCAGCUGGUGUGCCUUGGCAUGAUGACCUCAUUAGCCCUCCCAGACAAGGCCUGUGGUGGGUGAGCCCCCAGGAGCGGUUCCAUUCACAUUUCCUCUCCUUACCUUUGCCUUAAAAAUGGCAUAAUUCAUCCGGGUGUGGUGGCUCAUGCCUGUAAUCCCAGAACUUCGGGAGGCCGAAGCUAGUGGAUCACAAGGUCAGGAGUUCGAGACCAGCCUGAUUUAUCAGGCUGAGGAUCCAUGUUUUUGUCACAUUAUUGUCCUGCUAAAGCAAAUCUGAUGACAAAUUAAAAAUUCCAAGAGGACAGAAACUCUACACCUCCCUUACAUAGAAGAAUAGAUUUCUGAGGAUUUCCCACCCAUGUGCUAGGACUGCAUGGCGAAUCUCUGCCGUCUCUCUGAACGCAGAAGGGUCUGAGACUGGCCGUCUCCUUUUCUUUCCUUGUAAUAAACAUUUUUCUUUCUUCCUAG